AUGUGUUUGCAGGCAUAACUAUGUUGGGGGCAUAGCACAUGAGUAGAGGCCAGAAGAGGACAUUGGAUCACUUGAAGCUGGAGUUCCAGGAGGCUGCAAAUCCUGGGUCCUGAUCUUUUAGACGGCUCAACUGCUUCCUGGGAGUAAUGUUGCCCCUAUUGCUCCUUCCUACUGGUGAGCUGCUAAAGGGCUUAACAUGGAGGCUACGUGCACCCUGAAUAAAUAUCUGUUUACUUGGACAAGAUUAUCAUCCCCAACUCCUUACACUGCCAUGGCGUGAUUUUGAAGAAGCCAGAGGGGUUAUGGUCUCCAUCACUCUAAACAACUGGAAAACGAAGGACAAGAGGAAGAAAACGAAGGACAAGAGGAAGAAAACGAAGGACAAGAGGAAGAAAACGAAGGACAAGAGGAAGAAUUCCUAUGGUAGUUGCCCCAGAGCAUGGGGCCCAGCAAAAUCAGUCCUAUUAAGCAUGAGCCUUUGAAACAGUGGGCUCUCCAGUUCCUUCAUCUGUAGAGACUAACGAGCCUUGAGGAUCUGAUUCAGGGGCUUUGAACCUCAUCCUUAACUCCUUACGUCAUCCUGCAGGUCUGGUUUCAGAUGACCAAUUCUGCACCAACAUAGGUUAAUCUAGCCUCGAGGU
rnacentral:lncRNA from 1 species